UCAGCGGUGAUGGCGCUCGGGCGCAUAAU
rnacentral:sRNA from 1 species